AGAGUUUGAUCAUGGCUCAGGACGAACGCUGGCGGCGUGCUUAACACAUGCAAGUCGAGCGGAAAGGCCCUUUCGGGGGUACUCGAGCGGCGAACGGGUGAGUAACACGUGAGUAAUCUGCCCUUGGCUUUGGGAUAACUACCGGAAACGGUGGCUAAUACCGGAUAUGACCAUGCUCGGCAUCGGGUGUGGUGGAAAGUUUUUUCGGCCAGGGAUGUGCUCGCGGCCUAUCAGCUUGUUGGUGGGGUAAUGGCCUACCAAGGCUUCGACGGGUAGCCGGCCUGAGAGGGUGACCGGCCACACUGGGACUGAGACACGGCCCAGACUCCUACGGGAGGCAGCAGUGGGGAAUAUUGGACAAUGGGCGGAAGCCUGAUCCAGCAACGCCGCGUGAGGGAUGACGGCCUUCGGGUUGUAAACCUCUUUCAGUACCGACGAAGCGCCGAUGAUGGUGGUGACGGUAGGUACAGAAGAAGCACCGGCCAACUACGUG
rnacentral:rRNA from 1 species